GACACAACUCACGUGAGAAAAAAGUCAACAGAAGUUGGUAGAAAAAAAAUCUAACAACUAAUUUCCAUUCGUUAACAAUUUUGCAAAUAUAUCGAGCGCAAACGUCCCCGACAUCAAUAGAUUUGGCGGUAAUGUCGAACACUACUGUUGGUAAAGGUGAGCUCUGACCUGAAGAACCAGUGUUUUUUUUAACUGUUCGCAGUAAAGUGUCUCAUUGUUAAAAGAAUUCCUUCACAAUUAAACUGCAACCAUCCUCAAGUAAUUGAUAAAUGGAGAACAUGACGAGCCCGGCAUCAUCAUCGAAAGUCAGGUUGUUUACGCGAUAUGAGGUCUCACGGCAUGACGAAACCGAUGAGACUUGGAUUAUUAUUCACAAUAGUGUCUAUGAUGUCACUGACUUUCUUGCUAAGCACCCUGGAGGUGCAGAUCUCCUCAUAGAACAAUCAGGACUCGAUGCAAGUGAUCCUUUUGAAAACGUGGGGCAUUCCAGUGACGCCCGGCAGAUGAUGGAAAAGUAUAAAAUUGGAGAAGUCGUGGAGGAGGAGAGAACUCCCCCCUGGAAAGACGAUACAAAGCGAGAUGGGGCGAAUGGAACUGGAGAAGACGACGGAUCCAGAAAAGAUUCUGGAUAUCUUCAAAAAUAUUUUAACAAUAUCUAUUGCAUUUAUUUAUGAAGUCUAUCAGCAUUGAAAUGGAAAAACAACGUGAGUAAUUGGCUGAUGGAUUCAAUGGAAUGAGGAUGAAUUAAUUCUACAAUUAAUUUGUCGCUGCUGCGUGCUGAUGUGAUGAUUGGCAAUUGCAGUGGUUCAUGGAGAUCCUGGCUGAUUCCAAUCACCCUGGGAGUCCUCGCAACAAUCGUAUACCGUUAUUUCAUCGGUGCUCGCUGAAGAAUACAUUCCUCGAUAACAGAAAUGAGAUUCGCAACUCAAUAUCUCAUCCUUCACUCUCUCUAACGCUUUAUCAGGGAGUUAAUACACAAAGCCGAAGAGGGAGUAGAUACAGCAAAUUUGUUAUAUGAAUACUUUUUAUUAUUUUUACAUUGUAUUAUGUAGAACUAGGGAACGUUCUUUUUCAUGUGCGAAUAUCCAGGGAUCAGUGGGCCUAGCGAUGAUAGUCAAAUGUCAUGAAUAUAUUUACAUACGUUCUAUUGAAUAUUUUCUGGACAAAUGUCAAAUACUUCUGCCAUUGUAGCACAAGUUCAAUAGCGAAACGAUUCACGGGGAAAUGGAUUUAUGUAAAUUUUUCAUGGUGUUCCUCCUGAAAUGAUUAUUGCUUGUUUAUGAAACUAUUUCAUUGACUCACUCAUGUUCUACUCGAAAGAAUCAAUUUAUUUCCCUGCAAAAUAUUGUUUCGUGGAGGAAAACACUUUUUAGGCAAGAAAAUUUUGUAUAUGGGAACGUUAAUCUUUUCGGCAGCGUUAUUUUUUUCCUCGGUGGCUGAUCAAGUGAAUAAUAUAGUUUCAUAAAAUUUAGUAAUUGCAGGAAGAGCAGGAAAAGUUGAAUUCAAAGGGUAAAGGACUUAGUCAUGUUUUAUCACUUGGCCGCUCGGAUUUAUUGAAUGUAAUUUCUAUCUAUGGAAAACAGAUCUUUUCGGCUAUGACUCGCUAUUACUGUGUAUGAUUCUCGUUAUAAUAAAUCAAAAUGAAACACGA